ensembl:snRNA U6 U6 spliceosomal RNA
GUGCUUGUUUCAGCAUCAUAAAUACCCAAACUGGAGUGAUACAGAAAAGAUUAGCAUGGUCUCUAUACAAGGAUGACAUGCAAAUUCAUGAAGGGUUCAUGUUUUUA